rnacentral:lncRNA from 1 species
CCUCGCCCCUCCCUCGGCCCACUCUUCAUGGCUCAAUUUCGGCUCCCGGAGCUGGUUCUACCAGGGCCCCAGCACCGGUCCAGAGAGGAGGCCCCGGGUCCGCGCGUCUGGUUGUGUCGGGCGGUGCUCUCUGUCCUUCUCACUCCCCAGCCCUCCCUUCCAUUUCUCGGUUACCUGCGCGGCUGCAGGCGCCGCCGGGGACUGCACAGGUGGUUUCAGC